rnacentral:tRNA from 2 species
GCGCGAUUAGCUCAGGGGUUAGAGUACUUGCUCGACACGCAAGGGGCCGCUGGUUCAAAUCCAGCAUCGCGCACCU